UUUUAUCAGAGAGUUUGAUCCUGGCUCAGGAUGAACGCUGGCGGCGUGCUUAACACAUGCAAGUCGAACGGGAAAUACUUCAUUGAGACUU
rnacentral:rRNA from 1 species